rnacentral:rRNA from 1 species
GAUGAACGCUGGCGGCGUGCUUAACACAUGCAAGUCGAACGAUGAAGCCCAGCUUGCUGGGUGGAUUAGUGGCGAACGGGUGAGUAACACGUGAGUAACCUGCCCUUAACUCUGGGAUAAGCCUGGGAAACUGGGUCUAAUACCGGAUAGGAGCGUCCACCGCAUGGUGGGUGUUGGAAAGAUUUAUAGGUUUUGGAUGGACUCGCGGCCUAUCAGCUUGUUGGUGAGGUAAUGGCUCACCAAGGCGACGACGGGUAGCCGGCCUGAGAGGGUGACCGGCCACACUGGGACUGAGACACGGCCCAGACUCCUACGGGAGGCAGCAGUGGGGAAUAUUGCACAAUGGGCGCAAGCCUGAUGCAGCGACGCCGCGUGAGGGAUGACGGCCUUCGGGUUGUAAACCUCUUUCAGUAGGGAAGAAGCGAAAGUGACGGUACCUGCAGAAGAAGCACCGGCUAACUACGUG